rnacentral:rRNA from 1 species
UACGUAGGGGGCAAGCGUUAUCCGGAUUUACUGGGUGUAAAGGGAGCGUAGACGGUUAUGCAAGUCAUAAGUGAAAGCCCAAAGCUCAACUUCGGGACUGCUUUUGAAACUGUGUAACUAGAGUGCAGGAGGGGUAGGCGGAAUUCCUAGUGUAGCGGUGAAAUGCGUAGAUAUUAGGAGGAACACCGGCGGCGAAGGCGGCUUACUGGACUGUAACUGACGUUGAGGCUCGAAAGCGUGGGGAGCAAACAGG